UUUCAACAUCAGUUUUAACUUGAUCAAUCGCGACAAUAGUACCACUUGUACCAGGUUCAUUUUUAAGUUUUUUGAAUAACUUAUCAAUGGAUUUAACUAAGUUAUCAUCAUCAGAUGGUAAUCCUAACUUGUGUCUAUUUUCUGGUAACUUUAUUAAAGGAUGUUCAAUUUUUGAAUCAGGGUUUUUUAUAAUAGAUUCUUCAAACUUUUCUUCAAUCCUAUCUAGCUGUUUUCCAACUGUUGCU
rnacentral:lncRNA from 1 species